rnacentral:lncRNA from 1 species
CUUGCUGUUUUUUAUCACUCCUUCUUUCUUUAUGGAACUUGAUAUGUCUCUUUUCUCAAAUACCAUUUGAAAACUAUUUUUAUUCUAAGAUUAUGUGUGCAAAGAGGACUGAGCGCGUGAAAGUGGUUGACACCAUCUUUGUGUCGGAGGCUGAUAUUGGGGUUGGCCAUAGGGUUGUUUUGGUGAGAAGGCUUGGUUGCUCCAUUCAUGAGGAUAAUAAGGUGUGGGAUAUGAUUGUGAUUGUAUGGAUAAGGGUUAUAGUAGCUAGCUGUUGGGGUUAUGUGUGGGUGUGUUAAGGUGUUGGUGGUGAUACUAGCAGGAUAGCAAGGGUAUGGUGGUGGUUGGGUUUGGACCAUGAGUUAUGAUAAUUUGAUAGAGAUGGAUCUAAGUGCCUUAACCAUAGCUUCAUGCCUAACAUCAUCUUGUUUCUGGUUUUCUUUUAGUUUUUCCAAUAAAAGCUUUGCAAGGGAGGAUUCUGAAUCUUUGGGAGGCAUUUUAGAGUAGUAAUGAAAGCACCAAUUGAUAGAAUACAAAUUAGCAAUCUAUCAAGAACACUAGAAAUUAGUCUACUCCAACAUAAUAAAAG